CGUGUAGGCGGCUUGGUAGGUCUGCUGUGAAAACUCGGGGCUCAACCCCGAGACGUCGGUGGAAACCACCUGGCUAGAGUCCGGAAGAGGAGAGUGGAAUUCCUGGUGUAGCGGUGAAAUGCGCAGAUAUCAGGAAGAAUAUCCGUGGCGAAGGCGGCUCUCUGGUACGGCACUGACGCUGAGACGCGAAAGCGUGGGAGCGAACA
rnacentral:rRNA from 1 species